rnacentral:rRNA from 1 species
UACGGAGGGGGCUAGCGUUGUUCGGAAUUACUGGGCGUAAAGCGCGCGUAGGCGGCUUUGUAAGUUAGAGGUGAAAGCCCGGAGCUUAACUCCGGAACUGCCUUUAAGACUGCAUCGCUAGAAUCGUGGAGAGGUGAGUGGAAUUCCGAGUGUAGAGGUGAAAUGCGUAGAGAGUCGGGAGAACACCAGAGGCGAAGGCGGCGACCUGGACAAGCACUGACACUCAAGCUAGCGAAAGCGUGGGGAGCAACAGG